UACGUAGGGGGCAAGCGUUGUCCGGAAUCAUUGGGCGUAAAGCGCGUGUAGGCGGUUCAGUAAGUCUGCUGUGAAAGUCCAGGGCUCAACCCUGGGAUGCCGGUGGAUACUGCUGGGCUAGAGUACGGAAGAGGCGAGUGGAAUUCCCGGUGUAGCGGUGAAAUGCGCAGAUAUCGGGAGGAACACCAAUAGCGAAGGCAGCUCGCUGGGACGUUACUGACACUAAGGCGCGAAAGCGUGGGGAGCGAACAGG
rnacentral:rRNA from 1 species